rnacentral:lncRNA from 1 species
CUUCCGCUAUCUUUGUCGUUGCUCCAACUGUCGUCUGAUGUUACAUUUUCAAGAUAAUCCUGAUUACGGAAGGAAUGAUUAACUGAAGGGAUGUAAAUAGGGACAGUUUCUUCAAAAGGAAACAUACUGAUGCUAUUGCUAUUUCAUCUUUUGAUCAAUGUGAAGUAUUUGUGGAUGGAAAGUCAGAUUUAAUAGUAUCAUCUAGGAAGUAUUGAUGUUCAACGUACUCGUCUUUCGAAGAAACGACGGCAGAAACAAUAUAAGGCAUUUGGUUCGAAUUUAAUCUUGAAAUCCAGUUGGAACAAUUUCUUGACCUGAAAAGUGAGAACAGGUAUUCGUUUCAUAACCAAAAGGUCUCAAGUAAUGUCAACCGUCUGUUAACAGGACAGGAAUAUUUGAUCAGAGGU